rnacentral:rRNA from 1 species
UACAGAGGGGGCAAGCGUUGUUCGGAAUUACUGGGCGUAAAGGGCGCGUAGGCGGCCUUCUAAGUCGAACGUGAAAUCCCGUGGACCUCAAGCCACGGACUGCGUCCGAUACUGGAAGGCUUGAAUCCGGGAGAGGUGAGUGGAACUGCGAGUGUAGAGGUGAAAUUCGUAGAUAUCGCAAGAACACCAGUGGCGAAGGCGGCUCACUGGCCCGGUACUGACGCUGAGGUGCGAAGGCGUGGGGAGCGAACGGG